rnacentral:rRNA from 1 species
UACGUUAGGGUGCGAGCGUUAUCCGGAAUUAUUGGGCGUAAAGAGCUCGUAGGCGGUUUGUCGCGUCUGUCGUGAAAGUCCGGGGCUUAACCCCGGAUCUGCGGUGGGUACGGGCAGACUAGAGUGCAGUAGGGGAGACUGGAAUUCCUGGUGUAGCGGUGGAAUGCGCAGAUAUCAGGAGGAACACCGAUGGCGAAGGCAGGUCUCUGGGCUGUAACUGACGCUGAGGAGCGAAAAGCAUGGGGAGCGAACAGG